rnacentral:rRNA from 1 species
GAUGAACGCUGGCGGCGUGCCUAAUACAUGCAAGUCGAGCGAACGGACGAGAAGCUUGCUUCUCUGAUGUUAGCGGCGGACGGGUGAGUAACACGUGGAUAACCUACCUAUAAGACUGGGAUAACUUCGGGAAACCGGAGCUAAUACCGGAUAAUAUUUUGAACCGCAUGGUUCAAAAGUGAAAGACGGUCUUGCUGUCGCUUAUAGAUGGAUCCGCGCUGCAUUAGCUAGUUGGUAAGGUAACGGCUUACCAAGGCAACGAUGCAUAGCCGACCUGAGAGGGUGAUCGGCCACACUGGAACUGAGACACGGUCCAGACUCCUACGGGAGGCAGCAGUAGGGAAUCUUCCGCAAUGGGCGAAAGCCUGACGGAGCAACGCCGCGUGAGUGAUGAAGGUCUUCGGAUCGUAAAACUCUGUUAUUAGGGAAGAACAUAUGUGUAAGUAACUGUGCACAUCUUGACGGUACCUAAUCAGAAAGCCACGGCUAACUACGUGCCAGCAGCCGCGGUAAUACGUAGGUGGCAAGCGUUAUCCGGAAUUAUUGGGCGUAAAGCGCGCGUAGGCGGUUUUUUAAGUCUGAUGUGAAAGCCCACGGCUCAACCGUGGAGGGUCAUUGGAAACUGGAAAACUUGAGUGCAGAAGAGGAAAGUGGAAUUCCAUGUGUAGCGGUGAAAUGCGCAGAGAUAUGGAGGAACACCAGUGGCGAAGGCGACUUUCUGGUCUGUAACUGACGCUGAUGUGCGAAAGCGUGGGGAUCAAACAGGAUUAGAUACCCUGGUAGUCCACGCCGUAAACGAUGAGUGCUAAGUGUUAGGGGGUUUCCGCCCCUUAGUGCUGCAGCUAACGCAUUAAGCACUCCGCCUGGGGAGUACGACCGCAAGGUUGAAACUCAAAGGAAUUGACGGGGACCCGCACAAGCGGUGGAGCAUGUGGUUUAAUUCGAAGCAACGCGAAGAACCUUACCAAAUCUUGACAUCCUUUGACAACUCUAGAGAUAGAGCUUUCCCCUUCGGGGACAAAGUGACAGGUGGUGCAUGGUUGUCGUCAGCUCGUGUCGUGAGAUGUUGGGUUAAGUCCCGCAACGAGCGCAACCCUUAAGCUUAGUUGCCAUCAUUAAGUUGGGCACUCUAAGUUGACUGCCGGUGACAAACCGGAGGAAGGUGGGGAUGACGUCAAAUCAUCAUGCCCCUUAUGAUUUGGGCUACACACGUGCUACAAUGGACAAUACAAAGGGCAGCGAAACCGCGAGGUCAAGCAAAUCCCAUAAAGUUGUUCUCAGUUCGGAUUGUAGUCUGCAACUCGACUACAUGAAGCUGGAAUCGCUAGUAAUCGUAGAUCAGCAUGCUACGGUGAAUACGUUCCCGGGUCU